UGGAAUUCAGCCUUUGUUGGAAAUGAUCAAAGAAGGCAGCUUCCAGUUCUCUGCGCUAUGAUAAUUUUUCUGCUGAUGAUGCCGAGUUAGCAGCACAGUCUCCCAUUUAGUCUAUGGGAAUGUUGCAGUUGGCUACAACGGGAGCAAGAGCAGGACAACAGUCACAUUAUUAGCAGUAAACUCUGCACUCUGAUGUUCAGAGCAUUGCUGGUGCGAGGAGCAAGCUGUAAUUGAACCAUCUGGGACCAAUAAAGGCUUGAAUGGUACUAGAAGAACAGAGGAAAGGUACUGGAGUGACAGUCCUGGAGAACAAAGCCCAGGUGCAGCAAGCCCAAAGAUAAACAUGUCACACAGCCCUGCCGUCGUCCUCCUGCAGUCCUGAUAUGAGAAACCACCCUCAGAAAAUAAGAUGUAUUUAGUCCCCACAACCAUUCAGUUCUUGGCCUUUGUGCUGAGACCGCCAAUGAGGGAGGGGGGGAGGGGAAGGGUGCUAAUUAGUGUAAAAUCUGUGGUGCAGACG